rnacentral:rRNA from 1 species
GUCUAGGGCCACACCACCCUGAACGCCCCCGAUCUCCUCUGGUCUCGGAAGCUAAGCAGGGUCGGGCCUGGUUGGUACUUGGAUGGGAGACCGCCUGGGAAUACCGGGUGCCGUAGGCU